UCCGGUUGAUUCUGCCGGAGGCUACUGCUAUCAGGAUUCGACUAAGCCAUGCAAGUCUGACCGCAAGGUCGGCAAACAGCUCAGUAACAUAUGGUUAAGCUGCCCUACGAUCUGGGAUAAUUUCGGGAAACUGAAUGUAAACCCGGGUAGUUCAUCUAUGCUGGAAUGCUUGAUGAAUUAAAGGUAACGUCGUAGGAUGCGACCAUGUCUCAUCAGGCAGUUGGCGGGGUAACGGCCCACCAAACCGACGACGAGUACGGGUUGUGCGAGCAAUAACCCGGAGAUGGGGACUGAGACAAUGCCCCAGGCCCUACGGGGCGCAGCAGGCGCGAAAACUUCGCAAUGCCCGCAAGGGUGACGAGGGGAUCCUGAGUGUUGGUGCAAAUUUGUGCCAACUUUUGACAACAGUAAACGAGUUGUUGAAUAAGGGCUGGGAAAGAUCGGUGCCAGCCGCCGCGGUAACACCGACGGCCCAAGUGGUCGCCGCACUUACUUGGUUUAAAGCGUCCGUAGCUUGAAUAGUAAAUUCUAGGUGAAAACCCAAUACUCAAUAUUGGGAAGGGCCUGGAAGACUGCUACUCUAGGGACCGGAAGAGGGAAGGGGAACUUUUUGGGUAGGGGCUAAAUCCUAUAAUCCAAAAAUGACCACCGGUAGCGAAGGCGCCUUCCUGGAACGGGUCCGACGGUGAGGGACGAAGCCUAAGGUAGUGAACGGGAUUAGAUACCCCGGUAAUCUUAGGUGUAAACGAUGUUUGCUAGGUGUUGCUGUUGCCACGCGCGACAGCAGUGCCGAAGGGAAACCGUUAAGCAAACCACCUGGGGAGUACGAUCGCAAGAUUGAAACUUAAAGAAAUUGGCGGGGGGGCACCACAAGGGGUGAAGCUUGCGGUUCAAUUGGAUUCAACGCCGCGCAACUAACCAGGCUCGACGGCAGAAUGAUGGUCAGGCUGAAGGUCUUACCAGACAAGCCGAGAGGUGCUGCAUGGCCGCCGACAGCUCGUGCUGUGAAGUGUCUAGUUAAGUCUAGCAACGAGCGAGACCCAAACCGUUACUUGCUAUCGCCUUCUCCGGAAGGUGAGCACAUUAGCGGGACUGCAUCCGCUAAGGAUGAGGAAGGAUUGGGCGACGGUAGGUCAGUAUGGCCCGAAUACCCUGGGCUACACGCGAGCUGCAAUGGCUAGAACAAUGAGAUGCUACUCCGAAAGGAGACGCAAAUCCCCUAAACCUAGUCUCAGUCCGGAUAGAGGGUUGCAACCCACUCUCUUGAAGAUGGGAUCCCCAGUAAUCGGGUGUCAUAAUCGCCCGGUGAAAACGUCCCUGCUCCUUGCACACACCGCCCGUCAUACCACUCGAGUGAGCUUUGCACGAGGCGCAGGUUUUUGCCUGCUACGAAUGUGAUGUUCGCGAGAUGGGUAAAGUCGUAACAAGGUA
rnacentral:rRNA from 1 species